rnacentral:rRNA from 1 species
GAUGAACGCUGGCGGCAGGCUUAACACAUGCAAGUCGAGCGGGGAAGAGUAGCUUGCUACUUAACCUAGCGGCGGACGGGUGAGUAAUGCUUAGGAAUCUGCCUAUUAGUGGGGGACAACAUCUCGAAAGGGAUGCUAAUACCGCAUACGUCCUACGGGAGAAAGCAGGGGACCUUCGGGCCUUGCGCUAAUAGAUGAGCCUAAGUCGGAUUAGCUAGUUGGUGGGGUAGAGGCCUACCAAGGCGACGAUCUGUAGCGGGUCUGAGAGGAUGACGCGCCACACUGGGCCUGAAACAAGGCCCAGAACCCUACGGGAGGCAGCAGUGGGGAAUGUUGGACAAUGGGGGGAACCCUGAUCCAGCCAUGCCGCGUGUGUGAAGAAGGCCUUUUGGUUGUAAAGCACUUUAAGCGAGGAGGAGGCUACCGAGAUUAAUACUCUUGGAUAGUGGACGUUACUCGCAGAAUAAGCACCGGCUAACUCUGUGCCAGCCGCCGCCGUAA